GUGAGGAAUAUUGCGCAAUGGAGGCAACUCUGACGCAGCCAUGCCGCGUGCAGGAAGAAGGCGCUACGCGUUGUAAACUGCUUUUAACCGGGAAGAAACCCCAGGACGUGUCCUGGGUUGACGGUACCGGAGGAAUAAGCACCGGCUAACUUCGUGCCAGCAGCCGCGGUAAUACGAAGGGUGCAAGCGUUAUCCGGAUUCAUUGGGUUUAAAGGGUGCGUAGGCGGAGCGUUAAGUCAGUGGUGAAAUCCUGCAGCUUAACUGUAGACUGGCCAUUGAUACUGGCGCUCUUGAGUGCGCUUGAAGUGGGCGGAAUGUGCCGUGUAGCGGUGAAAUGCUUAGAUAUGGCACAGAACACCAAUUGCGAAGGCAGCUCACUAAGGCGAUACUGACGCUGAGGCACGAAAGCGUGGGGAUCGAACAGGAUUAGAAACCCUGGUAGUCC
rnacentral:rRNA from 1 species